AUCAGGGAUCACAGUCAGGUUUAAAACAGUCCACUUCAGGAAUACAUCUUCAGAAAUUGUCUAAUUUCCUCAUCAGGCCAGAGAACUAAAGGAAGAAGAAUUAACAUAGAAAACUGAGUUGGGUGCCAAGCAGUAUCAGUAGAGCUGAGGUGCCAGAUUUGCUCUUAUCUAGGUGUGCUCAAGGCAUUCUGGAACGACUGCUGCAGCUCCCACCCAGUGCCUUGGGAACAUCUUCCUGGUCAGCACUCUCUUUCCCCAUCACAGAGAGGGGAACAAACUCCCAACUGAGAACUUCUGGUGACAGGACAUUUACAAGCAGUGUGCAACCAGCUAACUGUGUUAGGUAAUUAAUCAGAAUGGUUUUAUGUUGAAGGCUGAGCACCAGAGGUAAGAACAGAUCUGCUAUCACGUGGUGACAUUCACUGAUACAGUUAACUUGGACACACUGAUGCUUAAAAAUGUUUAAUCAGUGCAAGUUCAAUGUUAAUCACAUAUAAGGAAAAAGGGACUAUGAUCUGGUGAUUAACUAGAAAAAUAAGAUAUUACUAAAAUCAGCUUGCCCUCCUAAUUUCCAGGUCCGUGAGAUGGAAGGUAAUUCAAACUGUUGGCCUAUUUACAUGCUAAACAUGCAGAUCAUGACAGAAUGCAAAAAGGAUGUACAUGUUUACUAUAUUUUGUGCUCCAGAAAUGUGAGGAUGCCACAACGUGGCAGUGAUUCAUGUGCCUGGCUUAGGCUUAGACAUCUGCUUGUUCUGGCCUACCAGCUGCUGCUCUAAAAUGCUGUGAAAUGCUUAUGUAGAUGCCUUGGAUAGCCCAAAGCAUCUAAAAUGGCACUAUAUGCCUGUGAUUAGGUACCUGAAUAUCUCCCAGAGUGUCAUUCACUGAAGUGGGCAGGGAGAUUAAAUUUUCAAGUUCAGAAUUUCAGGAUUUAUUUGUGUAACCACUAGCUAUACAUACCCCGAGUACUGAAACGGCUGGUCUCCAUCUCAUGCUUUAGUCACGUUCUUAGUAUUCCAUAACAUACAGAAGAAAGCUACAUCUAGCAUUACAUGCAGUAACAGAUCCCUUCCCUUUGCAACCCUGAAUUGUUUCAAAUAGUCACUCUCCAUUCCUCAGAGUUAAGAGUAAAAUGGAUGAUGACAUUAUCGCUGAGCAAGAAGGAAAAGAUGCAUACCAGCAAGGCCGUGCCAGUAGAUUGCUAAAACAGCAGAGGUUUCAAUUUCUUCAUGAAGGGUUGGGAUUAUGUUCUGUGAAACCAUACAGAUGUUGAGAAGAUGCUGAGUGGCUGAGAAAAAAAAAAAAGUAAAAGGAAAACCACAAAAGCUGUUUUCUCCAUCUGUAGAAAAGAUAAGCCUCCAAAGGUGUUUGGAAAAUAAUGUACAUAAUUCUUUCUAUUGCAUCAGCCACUCUAAGUGGUAUAUAACCAGUUCAGAAAAAUACCUAAUGGACUAAGCUGUGGGAGGCCUGAAGUGAGGAAAGAACUCUAUUUUGCUCUAUUUUGGUUGCAAUGUAAUAUUUUCUAUCUUUUUGCUUUGGUGACAUAAAAGUUGUAGCAUAAGUCAGAAAAGCAUAUCAAUAUAAAUAAAUAAAACUGUUUUCUGAUCUUAUUGCAUACUCAUGUUUAAAACAGGCAUAAGAGCUUUUCUCUGUUUUACGUGAAUGAUCAUUAUCUCCAGAUUCAAAGCAAUAACCAUCACUGCUGGAACAGGAGCAAAAUAGGAGACCCGAAAAUGAGUCAGAGCCAGCAACUGCCAGGACUCUUUUAGGUGCUUGUGGAGAAUGGAGUUAUUUUUAUAAAUAUGGUCUGCAUUUUUCUACAUGGAUAGUCACGAGCGAUCUCUUUCCUGAGGCAUAUUGUUCCUAAGUAAGGUAGGCCGCUUCUAAACCCACCUGUCACCUUCAGACAAGUUAAUUUUCUUACUUUGCAGGCUGAACUAAAUCCACCGUGACUGGGCCUCCAGGUGAGGAGGAGCAGUCGGGGUGAGGACACAUGCAGGAACACAGAGGAAGACAGAGAACCAGUGGGGACUUCCGAAAGCAAAGGACAAUUUUGUUUUUCAUAAUGAUUAGUGCUAAUGGGAAACCAUGACUAGCUGUAUUUGAAGAUCUACAAGUAAGUCAUCCUCUUCUCUACAGUUUCAUUUCUAGUUUGGAACAGCAACCUGCAGCUUUUGUAGAAAACAAAAAAUCAGAUUAUAAUAAUGUUAAUGAGAACUUGGAAAAUAUGUGCUUUAAAAGCCACGUACACAAGCAUGGAGAGUUAAAGAGAAUGAUCUCUCUGCUAAGAUCAUCUCUAACAUGCUUCUUUCAGCUACAGAGACCUUUCAUCUACUGUAGAUGCAUAAGCAUGAAAGUCAGGUUCUUAAUUUUUUUAAAAAUUAUUUUACUUUUAAGUCCCAAUUGAAAAUUGAUGACACUUCUCCCCUCAAGAAAAUGAGAAAGAUGAUGCUGGUGAAGAGCAAGUACCCUAAUUGCUGGUCCAAAAACUGUCCUGUCUAUUCAGCACCUCCAGCUAAAAAACUCAGCUGUCGUAAGUGGGUACCCUAGCUACUAGACUUACAAAUGCAUCUCUUGACCCCUCUUCUCUUAGUUAUUUGUGAACUAUUUGUUUAAAAGAGGAAGAUUUUUUUUUUUAAACGAGAGUUUGUUUCAUUUCAGGAUAUUUUAUGAACCACUUCAGAGAUCUUGAUUUCAUUCAUAUUGCCAAAUGAGGUAGAGGAGGGAGCUGAUUUGUGUCUUUUGCUUGUCAAUUAGUUCAUUUUGACAGAAGACUUUCUUUCUGGCUUCUUUCAGAUACAUUAGUUCAGCAUGUUCUGAAACCACUUACUGGUGGGCCCCACAGAGAUGCAGGAAACACCUGG
ensembl:lncRNA